CAAGGUAAAGCCACAAAUUUGGCCCAUCACUGCUACAUGGUAAAGCCACAAAUUUGGCCCAUCACUGCUACAUGGUAAAGCCACAAAUUUGGCCCAUCACUGCUACAUGGUAAAGCCACAAAUUUGGCCCAUCACUGCUACAUGGUAAAGCCACAAAUUUGGCCCAUCACUGCUACAAGGUAAAGCCACAAAUUUGGCCCAUCACUGCUACAUGGUAAAGCCACAAAUUUGGCCUGUCACUGCUACAUGGUAAAGCCACAAAUUUGGCCCAUCACUGCUACAAGGUAAAGCCACAAAUUUGGCCCAUCACUGCUACAAGGUAAAGCCACAAAUUUGGCCCAUCACUGCUACAAGGUAAAGCCACAAAUUUGGCCCAUCACUGCUACAUGGUAAAGCCACAAAUUUGGCCCAUCACUGCUACAUGGUAAAGCCACAAAUUUGGCCCGUCACUGCUACAUGGUAAAGCCACAAAUUUGGCCCAUCACUGCUACAUGGUAAAGCCACAAAUUUGGCCCAUCACUGCUACAAGGUAAAGCCACAAAUUUGGCCCAUCACUGCUACAAGGUAAAGCCACAAAUUUGGCCCAUCACUGCUACAAGGUAAAGCCACAAAUUUGGCCCAUCACUGCUACUGGGCUAUCCUGCUGGAGCCUGACAUGACAUCCCCACCACCACUGACCCUCAUGUCGAUAGCUCACAUCACAUGCAUAAUAUAUAACAGAAACUAACAACAACAACGACAACCACAAGCACACCAAUAUGACACUUGAGCAGAAGGCCCAGUGGUGCGGAUCAUGCUUUCCAUUCCAAGCCUUGCCACCCCCCCCAAGACAGACAACCCUUCUUAGAGACUCUCCACAGGAACUAGAUUUUUUUAACUUGUACUUUGUUGUGAUAUUAAGAGAGGAAGUGCACUAGAAGUAAACCUGUAUAUGAUAAAUUAAAUAGAUUACCCCGGUAGGAGCGACGGGCCAAAUUUGUGGCUUUACCGUGUAUCAGCGAUGGGCCAAAUUUUUGCCAUGAUAUAAACCCCCCAAAAUAGAUGAUGCAUAAACUGAUCACAAAUGCUUUGAUAUAUAUUAUGAAAUGGUUUGCGUGAGUGAUGAUUCUUUCUCAUUUUUCUCGCUUAGAGGGACCUUUAAGAAACAUGAUCCCUGCAGCUACUGGGUUAAGGAUAGGAGAGGAGAGGAGAGGAGAGAGGAGAAAAUGGAUGAUAAGAAGAAAGGUGUAGGAUAGAAAAGCUAUAUAAAGGAUGGGAUAGGAGAGAAAUAAGGAGGAGAAAAUGCAAAAAGAGGAAAGGUACAGUCCGUGGAAGGCUGUUAGCUGACCUGAAAGCCUCCCUCCCACCACAGCUCCAGGGGGCAGACAACACAACCUGCUGUGGACAAAUCUGUUUCCGCCGCAGCCUCAAACCUGAACAGCCCCUACGAGUGCUAAUUGGGAGAGUACACACACACACACACACACACACACACCUCAGGCCCUGUACAGUUAAACUCAGGCCCUGUACACUACAAAUAAGUAAACACACACACACACACACACAGGUCACGGGUCUUAACCUAGGACAUGCCGGGGC